rnacentral:rRNA from 1 species
CAGCAGCCGCGGGAAUACGGAGGGGGCUAGCGUUGUUCGGAGUUACUGGGCGUAAAGCGCACGUAGGCGGCUUGGUAAGUUAGAGGUGAAAACCUGGAGCUCAACUCCAGAAUUGCCUUUAAGACUGCCGAGCUAGCAGGUGAGAGAGGUAAGUGGAAUUCCGAGUGUAGAGGUGAAAUUCGUAGAUAUUCGGAAGAACACCAGUGGCGAAGGCGGCUUACUGGCUCAUACUGGACGCUGAGGUGCGAAAGCGUGGGGAGCAAACAGGAUUAGAUACCCCCGUAGUCCCUGUCUCUUAUAC